rnacentral:rRNA from 1 species
GACAGAGGGUGCAAACGUUGUUCGGAAUUACUGGGCGUAAAGAGCUCGUAGGCGGCUCGUUGCGUCGGCUGUGAAACCCGCAGCUCAACUGUGGGCUUGCAGCCGAUACGGGCGGGCUGGAGUUCGGUAGGGGAGGACGUGGAAUUCCUGGUGGUAGCGGUGAAAUGCGCAGAUAUCAGGAGGAACACCGGUGGCGAAGGCGGUCUCUGGGCCGAUACUGACGUG